AUUGAACGCUGGCGGCAGACCUAACACAUGCAAGUCGAGCGAGCGGCGGAAGGGUGAGUAAUGUAGUGGGACCUGGCUGACGGAGGGGGAUAACUAGUGGAAACGGUAGCUAAUACUGCAUACCAUCCGAUGAACCCAUAGGGGAUUAGGUAGUAGGUGAGGAAACGGCUCACCUAGGCGACGAUCCCUAGCUGGUCUGAGAGGGUGAUCAGCCACACUGGGACUGAGACACGGCCCAGACUCCUACGGGAGGCAGCAGUGGGGAAGAUUGCGCAAUGGGCGAAAGCCUGAUGCAGCCAUGCCGCGUGUGUGAAGAAGGCCUUCGGGUUGUAAAGUACUUUCAGUAGGGAGGCGUUACCGACAGAAGAAGCACCGGCUAACUCCGUGCCAGCAGCCGCGGUAAUAC
rnacentral:rRNA from 1 species